rnacentral:rRNA from 1 species
CCUACGGGUGGCAGCAGUGGGGAAUAUUGCGCAAUGGGCGAAAGCCUGACGCAGCGACGCCGCGUGAGGGAUGAAGGUCUUCGGAUCGUAAACCUCUGUCAGCAGGGAAGAACGGUCACUGUGCUAAUCAGCAGUGAAUUGACGGUACCUGCAAAGGAAGCACCGGCUAACUCCGUGCCAGCAGCCGCGGUAAUACGGAGGGUGCGAGCGUUAAUCGGAAUUACUGGGCGUAAGGCGCUCGUAGGCGGUAUGUCAAGUCAAGGGUGAAAUCCCCGCGCUCAACGUGGGAACUGCCUUUGAAACGGGAAAACUGGAGUGUGUGAGAGGAUAGUGGAAUUCCAGGUGUAGGAGUGAAAGCCGUAGAUAUCUGGAGGAACAUCAGUGGCGAAGGCGACUAUCUGGCACAUAACUGACGCUGAGGAGCGAAAGCGUGGGUAGCAAACAGGAUUAGAUACCCCUGUAGUC